AGCGAACGCUGGCGGCAGGCUUAACACAUGCAAGUCGAGCGGGCCCUUCGGGGUCAGCGGCAGACGGGUGAGUAACACGUGGGAACGUACCCUUUGGUUCGGAAUAACGCUGGGAAACUAGCGCUAAUACCGGAUACGCCCUUUUGGGGAAAGGCUUGCUGCUGCAGGAUCGGCCCGCGUCUGAUUAGCUAGUUGGUGGGGUAAUGGCCUACCAAGGCGACGAUCAGGGGCUGGUCUGAGAGGAGGAUCAGCCACACUGGGACUGAGACACGGCCCAGACUCCUACGGGAGGCAGCAGUGGGGAGUAUUGGACAAGGGGCGCAAGCCUGAUCCAGCCAUGCCGCGUGAGUGAUGAAGGCCUUAGGGUUGUAAAGCUCUUUUGUCCGGGACGAUAAUGACGGUACCGGAAGAAUAAGCCCCGGCUAACUUCGUG
rnacentral:rRNA from 1 species